UCCGUGCUGCAGAAGGAAGCCGGGCCUCCUAUGGUGUCAAGACUGGAAGAUAGGCUGGAGGCUGGACUUCCGAGAGGCAUUUGUUUUUAUUUAAUUUCCAGAGAAUGUGGAUCGCUAAUAAAAGAAAAAGAAAAAAAAGCCAAAAGCACUCAUGAUUUUAAUACCCAGAAAUAAACCUGUUAACUCUUGCUGUGUGACCCUAGGUAUGUAACUUUGCCUCUCUGUGCCUCUGAUUCAUUGUUUAUUAAGUGGUGGUAAUAGCAAACUGGCUUCAUUAGUGUGAGGAGGCAGUGAGGAUUGAGUUGGUUCGCAUGACAAAUUUAAAAUGAUCCCGUCCUGGUUCAGGCUGGGCGUUAGCCAUUGGCCUUGUACAGUGCAGGGAAUUCACCACGUCCAGAGCAUUCGAAUUGGGCAAACAAGCACAUCUUUUCCCUGGCCAUGACGAGAAGACAGCAGCAUUCCUCAGUGUUUUGAAAAGCUUUGACAGCCAAUGUUGCCAGUGCAGGAUGCAUGCCUUCCUUUCUCCCUCAGCCACGGGACUGCUCGGGUCUGGGAACAGCCGCCUUGCGGAGAGACCGAGUUCUCCAAGCUUCUCUUGCAGCUAGGAAUGACCCCUGAGCUGUGAGCAUAAACUGUAGGAGGGGCUGCCGGGAACUUCUCUGCAGGAUCCUGUUCUUCUUACAGUCUGCCUGGAACUCAGAUAGCUAGAGCUGCAGAGACCAUCUUGAACCCAGAGGCACCGCUUCAAGCAUAGUGGCAAACCUGAAAGACAAAAGGCGUUUGAGUCCCGGUGGCAGGGGGCGGAGGAGCCUCUCGGGUCCUUGCUGACCUUGCUCUGCACUUGUUUAUGUGAAUAAAACAAAUCCCUGUUCAUUA